CUCUGCACUCCAGCCUGGAUAACAGAACGAGACUCCGUCUCAAAAUAAAAAAUAAAAUAAAAAAAAUAAUGGGGCUGUCCUUGGACAGAUGCUAAUUUGGGAAGGAAAGACUGGUAACCUGAGAAACACCUUGUAUCAUGCAAGAAAGUGAUGUAAUAUAUGUAAAAAGAAAAAGAAACUGAUUUUGCUAUUGGCUGGAUGACAUACGCAUCCCCAAUUGAUAUAAUUGCCCCAAAGUUGAAGUAUUUAGGAACUGAAUAAAUAGCUACCAUAUAUCAUUCCCCCAUAGGCUGUUGACUCCUCUAGCUGGUGCUCAUUUACCCUCAUUCUAGGCUCAGCCUGGCCACUCCCAAGGCUAAGGUGUCAGUGCAGAUUGAACUGUCCUCAUUCGUUCACAUACUUCAUUUUUCUAUAAUCGUCUAUGAUGAUCUACUAAGAGCCAAGCCUGUAGGAGGUACAGGAGACAAAAAACAAGAGGUAUCCUUGCUGCUUUCAAAGGAGACAGCCAUGCAAAAAUGCAAAGGAUACUCUCCGUGUAUCAGGAGUCCUGAGCCAGGGGCUCUUUAUUGCUUUGGCAAGGUAUGUACAGCCUCUUUUGCCUGGGUACAGUCACUGAACUCUGCGCAUGUUCCCUGUCACCAAGUCUGCCUUCAUCUCUUGUCCUCACAUUCCCUCACCUCACCACCACCAUAAUCAAGUUCUUACCUUAGAGCCCUGUCUUAAAGGUUACUAUAGUAUGAUCAUUGUGAUUUAAUGACUAAUAUUAAUAAGCCAUUUGAUAUAUGCCAGCAGUCUCUAAGGGCUUACCAUUAAUUCAUCCAAUACCUCAACUCAUUUAAUUCUCACAACAACCCGAUGAGAGACUAUCUCCAUUUGCAGAUGAGGAAGUUGAGGUAUACAGAAUUUAGAUAAUCCUCAUUCCUGCCUUGCAGCGACAGUCUCCUCUGGUUGUUGGAGUUUGGGGACAUGCAGAUUUCCAUGUCUAAAUGUAUAUUUCUUGUUCUGGAAGCACUCAGUGUCUGCCUAGAAGAACACUAGUUGCAAACAAGAAACUGUACCUUAGCUAGGUCCUGGUGUAUAUUUUAUUACAUCUGGGUUGUUUGUCUUUAUUACACCUUGGUUCUUCUUCUAGAAUGUGAGUCACUUGAUAGCAAGAAUCAUUUGGGAUGUACUUGAUACCUAAUAAAUAUUAUUUUUUUUCUCCCUUCAUAGUAGAUACUGAAUGAAGGUGUCAUAAAUGCUGCUGGACCUUCCUAUAGUACCAGCGUUACUUGGCAGCUUUGUCUGGUUCAGCGCUCUUACAUUUAAAUGAAUCAGAAAUGUACAAUUGGCUUGGGAAGAAAACACAGCCAGCCACAGGGGAGCAAGCUCAAAGAAGUUGCAAAACGAGAAGGAGAUGAGAGAAAUCAGAGAAGGAAGCAAGCAUUCUGACUUUUGACUGAGAGUCUCUGCCAGUUUUGCCUCACAUAUGAACACUUAUUUACUUUGCACACUAUUGCAAUCUGUAAUAUUGCAAAACAUAAAGUCAAAUAUUCUUCCCUUGUUUUAAUACUCAACAAGACCUCAGCCUUAUUAGCUUUUACCAACUAUUACGAAAACUUAAUAUGGCCUCCAAGUAACAUCAUUCUCAGACCAUAUUCCCAGUUGUGAAUAUUGUCCCUAGAUUGGACCUAGGUUAAAACAUUAGAUGUUAGUAUCAAAAAGGAGAAUUAUAACCAAAUAAAAACCAGAAAGAUCCCA